CCCAAUUGUAUGCAUAUGAAGAUAUGUUUAUUAUUACAAACAUAUAUAGACAUGUUUAUUAUAGGCAUAUGAAGAUAUGUUAUAAAACUAUUUUUGAAUAUUAAUCUCAAACAUAUCUAUAAAAUUUCCCUAAUGGAUAAGCAUUUAUCUCACUUAUGCCAUUCUUCUUUUCUACCCUUUUCAAUACAGUUCUCUCACUUUUUAUGUUCUGCUUUGAUGACCAUGUAAUUUUAAAUAAUAGGCUUAAGACUGUCUUUAUCCAUCAUUUAAAGAUAGAUUAUUGGCCGGGCGCGGUGGCUCAAGCCUGUAAUCUUAGCACUUUGGGAGGCCGAGGCGUGUGGAUCACGAGGUCAAGAGAUCGAGACCAUCCUGGUCAACAUGGUGAAACCCCGUCUCUACUAAAAAUACAAAAAAAAUUAGCUGGGCAUGGUGGCACAUGCCUGUAAUCCCAGCUACUCGGGAGGCUGAGGCAGGAGAAUUGCCUGAACCCAGGAGGUGGAGGUUGUGGUGAGCUGAGAUUGUGCCAUUGCACUCCAGCCUGGGUAACAAGAGCUAAACUCCGACUAAAAAAAAAAAAAAAAAAAAAAGGAAAUGUAGUAGAAGAUGAGGUCAGAAUGUGUGGAAAUAUCGGUCCUCAGAGGAAAUGUAGAGCCACACUGGGUUUUAAGCAGAGUAGUCCUGUUAUUUGAGAUAUAUUCUAAAAGGAUCCCUCUGGCUAUUCUACUUGAGAAUAUACUGUAAGGUGGAAGAGAGAUCAGAUAAGAGCCAGACAAGUAAUUUGGGCCAGGCAGGAGAGUAAUGUAAUGAAUAUAGGUCAGAUUCCGGCUCAAUUUUAAGGAUAGAUCUAACAGGAUGUUGAUGCAUUGGAUGUAGGCUGAGAGAAAAAGAAUGAGGUCAAGAAUGUCUGUAAGUUUUUUGCAUGAACAUCUGGAAGAGGAAGAUAGUUGGUGGCAGCAAAUCAGGAAUGCUGAGGGGGCAGAAUCAGGAGACUAGUUUAAAAUAUGCCGAAUCUGAGAAGUGUCUUAAGCACUGAAGUAGGUGUGUCAAAUAGGCAAUUCUGAGUGUAGGUGAGAUUCUUGGCUAGGGAUAGAAACUUGGAAUUCAUCUGCAUAAAAAUGGUGUUUAGUGCCCUGAGCAUGGAAGAGAUCCCCAAGAGUGAGCAUGGAGAGAGAAGAAGCCCACCACGGACUGAGCCCUGGGACCUUCGAACAUGAAGUGAUGGAGUACAGGACAAACCAGCAGAGAAGAAUAAGAAAUGAAACCAGUGAGGUGAUAUUUAACAUUGCACAGUUAAAUAAGCUGUGAUUCCUGCCUGUUAUCUUCACAGGUGGUGUUCUUUAUUGUAAUAGCUGUGGAAGUGGGCACACCAUUUGUAGUUGUGGGUACCCUUCUUUCUUGUCAUGACUGUUGGAAGUCACAGCAGAGCGUGAAUACUGCUCUGAGCUUUAGGAAACUUGUAUUCACUUGCUCUUAAUUUAUAAGACAGUUACCAAGUCUGUCUGAGUCUGUCUCUGCAGCAAGUCUUCUUCCCUUCCCUUUACAUCUUUUUCUCUCUCACUGAACACUAUUCAGAUUAUGCCUCUCUUGCUUUACAGUGGCCACAGCUACUAGUUUUGCACAGUGACAUUUCCCAAGAUGACAUUUCUCAGUACUUUGGUAUGUAAGAUGUUACUAGGCCUGAAUAAGUGUGCUGUCUGCAUGUUCAACACCUCAUAGGGGGUGUUGAACAAUGAGAACACAUGGACACAGGGAGGGGAGCAUCACACACUGAGGUCUAUUGGGGGGGAGACUAGGGGAGGGACAGCAGGGGGUAGGGAGUUGGGAAGGGAUAACAUGGGAGAAAUGCCAGAUAUAGGUGAUGGGGAUGGAGGCAGCAAACCACAUUGUCAUGUACAUACCUAUGCAACAAUCCUGCCUGUUCUUUACAUGUACCCCAGAACCUAAAAUGCAAUUAUAUAUAUACAUUUCACAGCACACUUAUUAUAUACAUAUUAUAUACACUUAUAUACAUUUAUACACAUAAAUAUAUAUUAUAUAUAAUAUAUGUAUAUAUAUUAUAUAUAAUAUAUGUAUAUAUAUUAUAUAUAUAUGUAUAAAAUAAGUGUGCUGUGAAGCAUUUGAUCCUCUUUGACACCUGGUUCUCUUACUCAUCCUUCAAGGUCAAGUUCAAAAGUCACUUCCUCUGAGCAUUAUUCCCUGAUCCUGCUCCUCAGAAACAGGAAGGAACAUCUUUUCUUCUGCACUUCCCUAACUCUUCAUGUCCUCCAAUUUAUGGGUGUUUGUAACUGUUAUCUUGUAUCAGCGUAAUUCUCUCUUACACUCUUAAGUUUUUUGAUGCCAACGUCUACAUAACUCCACAAAAUAAAGCACUAAUUUUACCUCAG
ensembl:lncRNA